CCUACGGGUGGCAGCAGUGAGGAAUAUUGGUCAAUGGGCGCGAGCCUGAACCAGCCAAGUAGCGUGAAGGAUGACUGCCCUACGGGUUGUACACUUCUUUUAUAAAGGAAUAAAGUGAGGCACGUGUGCCUUUUUGUAUGUACUUUAUGAAUACGGAUCGGCUAACUCCGUGCCAGCAGCCGCGGUAAUACGGAGGAUCCGAGAGUUAUCCGGAUUUAUUUGGUUUAAAGGGAGCGUAGAUGGGUUGUUAAGUCAGUUGUGAAAGUUUGCGGGUCACCCGUAGAAGUGCAAUUGAUACUGGCAGUCUUGAGUACAGUGGAGGUAGGCGGAAUUCGUGGUGUAGCGGUGACAUGAUUAGAUAGCACGAAGAACUCCGAUUGAGAAGGCAGCUUACUAAACUGCCAAGGACAGUGAUGCUCGAAAGUGUGGGUAUCAAACAGGAUUAGAUACCCUUGUAGUC
rnacentral:rRNA from 1 species